rnacentral:rRNA from 1 species
GUGCCAGCAGCCGCGGUAAUUCCAGCUCCAAUAGCGUAUAUUAAAGUUGUUGUUGUUAAAAAGCUCGUAGUUGAACCUUGGGCCUGGCUGGCCGGUCCGCCUCACCGCGUGCACUGGUCCGGCCGGGCCUUUCCCUCUGUGGAACCCCAUACCCUUCACUGGGCGUGGCGGGGAAACAGGACAUUUACUUUGAAAAAAUUAGAGUGCUCCAGGCAGGCCUAUGCUCGAAUACAUUAGCAUGGAAUAAUAAAAUAGGACGCGCGGUUCUAUUUUGUUGGUUUAUAGGACCGCCGUAAUGAUUAAUAGGAACAGUCGGGGGCAUCAGUAUUCAACUGUCAGAGGUGAAAUUCUUGGAUCAGUUGAAGACUAACUACUGCGAAAGCUUUUGCCAAGGUUGUUUUCAUUAAUCAGGAACGAAAGUUAGGGGAUCGAAGACGAUAAGAUACCGUCGUAGUCUUAACCAUAAACUAUGCCGACUAGGGAUCGGACGCUGUUAUUCAUGACCCCUUCGGCACCUUACAAGAAAUCAAAAUGCUUGGGCCCCCGGGGGGAGUAUGGUCGCAAGGCUGAUACUUAAAGAAAUUGACGGAAGGGCGCCACCAGGGGGGGAGCCUGCGGGGUUAUUUUACUCAACACGGGGGAACUCACCAGGCCCGGACACAAUAAAGGAUGGACAGAUUUGGAGCGCUUUUUUGACUUUUUGCAGAGGGGGCCUGUCCGACUUAGAUGGUGAGGGCCUUGUCUGCUCAAUUGCGAUAUCGAACGA